UGGGGAAUCUUGCGCAAUGGACGAAAGUCUGACGCAGCGACGCCGCGUGAGUGAUGAAGGCCUUCGGGUUGUAAAGCUCUGUGGGGAGAGACGAAUAAGGUGCAGUUAAUAUCUGCAUCGAUGACGGUACCUCCUUAGCAAGCACCGGCUAACUCUGUGCCAGCAGCCGCGGUAAGACAGAGGGUGCAAACGUUGUUCGGAAUCACUGGGCGUAAAGCGUGUGUAGGCUGUCAGAUAAGUCGGAUGUGAA
rnacentral:rRNA from 1 species